UNUGAAGUUAAAGGCUGUGGCUUAACCAUAGUACGCUUUGGAAACUGUUUAACUUGAGUGCAGAAGGGGAGAGUGGAAUUCCAUGUGUAGCGGUGAAAUGCGUAGAUAUAUGGAGGAACACCGGUGGCGAAAGCGGCUCUCUGGUCUGUAACUGACGCUGAGGCUNGAAAGCGUGGGGAGCGAACAGGAUUAGAUACCCUGGUAGUNCACGCCGUAAACGAUGAGUGCUAGGUGUUAGGCCCUUUCCGGGGCUUAGUGCCGCAGCUAACGCAUUAAGCACUCCGCCUGGGGAGUACGACCGCAAGGUUGAAACUCAAAGGAAUUGACGGGGGCCCGCACAAGCGGUGGAGCAUGUGGUUUAAUUCGAAGCAACGCGAAGAACCUUACCAGGUCUUGACAUCCCGAUGCCCGCUCUAGAGAUAGAGUUUUACUUCGGUACAUCGGUGACAGGUGGUGCAUGGUUGUCGUCAGCUCGUGUCGUGAGAUGUUGGGUUAAGUCCCGCAACGAGCGCAACCCUUAUUGUUAGUUGCCAUCAUUCAGUUGGGCACUCCAGCGAGACUGCCGGUAAUAAACCGGAGGAAGGUGGGGAUGACGUCAAAUCAUCAUGCCCCUUAUGACCUGGGCUACACACGUGCUACAAUGGCUGGUACUACGAGUCGCAAGUCGGUGACGGCAAGCUAAUCUCUUAAAGCCAGUCUCAGUUCGGAUUGUAGGCUGCAACUCGCCUACAUGAAGUCGGAAUCGCUAGUAAUCGCGGAUCAGCACGCCGCGGUGAAUACGUUCCCGGGCCUUGUACACACCGCCCGUCACACCACGAGAGUUUGUAACNUCCGAAGUCGGUGAGGUAACCUUUUAGGAGCCANC
rnacentral:rRNA from 1 species